rnacentral:rRNA from 1 species
GACGAACGCUGGCGGCGUGCUUAACACAUGCAAGACGAACGGAAAGGCCCUGCUUUUGUGUGGUGCUCGAGUGGCGAAAGGGUGAGUAACACGUGAGUAACCUGCCCUUGACUUUGGGAUAACGUCAGGAAACUGGGACGAAUACCGGAUAGAAGCUCCUGCUGCAUGGUGUGGGUUGGAAAGUUUCGGCGGUUGGGGUUGUUGGCGCGGCAUAUCAGCUCGUUGGUGGGGUAGUGGCUUACCAAGGCUUGGAGGGGUAGCCGGCCUGAGAGGGUGACCGGGCACAGUGGGCCUCAGAAAGCGGCAAUAGUGCUACGGGAGGCAUCAGUGGGAGACAUUCCGCGCUGGGCGGAAGGCGGAUGCAGCGACUUCGCGUCGUAGAUCACUGCUUUCGGGGUAGAAACCGCUUUCGCCUGGAAAGUACCGUGCGUGACGGUAACGAAUCAGGAAGCAACGGCUAACUACGUG